rnacentral:rRNA from 1 species
UACGUAGGGCGCAAGCGUUGUCCGGAAUUAUUGGGCGUAAAGAGCUCGUAGGCGGUUUGUCGCGUCUGCUGUGAAAACCUAAGGCUCAACCUUGGGCUUGCAUUGGGUACGGGCAGACUAGAGUGCGGUAGGGGUGACUGGAAUUCCUGGUGUAGCGGUGGAAUGCGCAGAUAUCAGGAGGAACACCGAUGGCGAAGGCAGGUCACUGGGCCGCAACUGACGCUGAGGAGCGAAAGCAUGGGGAGCGAACAGG